UCGACGGUGGUGGUGAAGCAGCGCCGUGAAUUGGAAUGCUUUCCAGUUCAAACAUCUAUCAUCCGAGCUGCUGCUCGUCCUUUCUCAAGUAAGCAUCCUUCCUCUACUCUACUCUAGCACUGAUCUAACUCUGCUUUGUCUAUUCUUUCAGCUAUAGCACUCAGCUCAAGUCCAUCAAGGACAACGGUACGAAUAUAUAGGUAGAACUCGUCUUCUCUCUCUCUCUUCUCUGUCCCUGUCUCGUUUCUUUCCUCUUGAGUAAAUGGUCUCAUGUGAUUUUCCUCAGUUGUUUUCCAGUAUGGGAAGUGAAGAAGAUCUACAGAUUCUCGGCUACCUUGGACCUCGAGCCUUGACUAUUCACGCGCUGGCUGGCUGUUUGCUCACAGGCCUUGAGGUAUAGUAGCACACACUCACGCUCUCCGCUGCAGUAACAGGAAUCGCCAGGCUCAAAAUUCUGCCUUUUCUUUUCCUGCCUCUGGGAGAGCAAAGAGAUCGCCCAGUCCAGAUUCUCACGGAGCAGCAGCAGCAGCAGCAAAAUCAAUCCAAUUCACGAGCGACGAGAUCGAAGACAACGAGACGAGAGAGCGCGUGAAGCAUCGCUCGAGAGAAAGAAGCCUUCGAUCGAGAAGAGAGAAAAAAAAUAAUAGAGAGAAUUAUUUGGUUUCGCGACCCAUGAAUGAAUGAAUGGCGUACGGCAGGGGCAAACACGUGUCGUACUGAUUUGCUUGCUGCAUUCCCAACAACACAACAUGGUUGUGUGACCCAAAAUAGAAACUCUCUCCGGCCACAUUGUAUUCCAAAAUAGUAUCAGCACAUAUAAGUUAUUAAACUCUCCCAUUGUUUUUGUGGUGUGGACAUUACGUAAGUGUAGUAUGUCCUUGUUUGUAAAAGGAAAAGAGAG
rnacentral:lncRNA from 1 species